CACACAAAGACCUCCUUCUACUUCUGAGUCAUAAUGUCACACCCAACAUAAUGGUUAAUAAACUGAAUAAAAGCCCUGGAUUUUUCCGGGUUUGUUCAACAGAGCAGAACUUCUGGCUACCACCUAGGCCACACGUUGAUUAUAUCUCUGUCUUUCACUUAUUUUCAAUAUGAAAACUUUGGCUUUGAUUCUGGGAGUGCUUGCUUUGAUGGGCAUACAGGUUUUUGGAGAAGAUUCUGACUCUGCCACGCCGGUAUGCUGCACUACCAAGAUAUCACUAGCUCAAAGUAUCAUGACAACGGGAGCUACGACUCACAUGACAACAGGAGGCCCAACUACCAAUAAACCAGCAGCUCCAACUACAAAGAAAAUAGAGACUUCAAAUACCAUGACAACAACAGCUCCAAUUACCAUGAUAACGGGAGGUUCAACUACCACGACAACAGUAGCUCCAACUACCAAAACAACAGCAGCUCCAACUACCAAAACAACAGCAGCUCCAACUACCAAAACAACAGCAGCUCCAACUACCAAAACAACAGCAGCUCCAACUACCAAAACAACAGCAGCUCCAACUACCAAAACAACAGCAGCUCCAACUACCAAAACAACAGCAGCUCCAACUACCCUGACAACGGCAGCUCCAACUAUCA